rnacentral:misc_RNA from 1 species
GAUGAAGAACGCAGCGAAAUGCGAUAAGUAAUGUGAAUUGCAGAAUUCAGUGAAUCAUCGAAUCUUUGAACGCACAUUGCGCCCCUUGGUAUUCCGAGGGGCAUGCCUGUUCGAGCGUCAUUACACCACUCAAGCACUGCUUGGUAUUGGGCAUCGUCCGUCGAAAGGCGGGCGUGCCUCGAAGACCUCGGCGGGGUUUCUCCAACUUCGGGCGUAGUAGAGUUAAAUCGAACGUCUUAUAAGCUUGGUGGGACUCCAUUGCCGUUAAACCUUUUAUUUUCUAGGUUGACCUCGGAUCAGGUAGGGAUACCCGCUGAACUUAAGCAUAUCAAUAGCGGAGGA